GAUGAACGCUGGCGGCGUGCUUAACACAUGCAAGUCGAACGGUGAAGCAGAGCUUGCUCUGUGGAUCAGUGGCGAACGGGUGAGUAACACGUGAGCAACCUGCCCCUGACUCUGGGAUAAGCGCUGGAAACGGCGUCUAAUACUGGAUAUGAGCUGCGACCGCAUGGUCAGCAGUUGGAAAGAUUUUUCGGUCUGGGAUGGGCUCACGGCCUAUCAGCUUGUUUGUGAGGUAAUGGCUCACCAAGGCGUCGACGGGUAGCCGGCCUGAGAGGGUGACCGGCCACACUGGGACUGAGACACGGCCCAGACUCCUACGGGAGGCAGCAGUGGGGAAUAUUGCACAAUGGGCGAAAGCCUGAUGCAGCAACGCCGCGUGAGGGAUGACGGCCUUCGGGUUGUAAACCUCUUUUAGCAGGGAAGAAGCGAAAGUGACGGUACCUGCAGAAAAAGCGCCGGCUAACUACGUG
rnacentral:rRNA from 1 species